CUUGGCACAUGAAGAUGUAUGAAGAGAGGGAUAUACUGUGAGCUGUACUAUGACACACUAUAGCUUCCACAACAAGAGAACUGAUUCAGUAUGCAUGGUGCUUGCCCAGGCCCAGGUGUCUGUGAUCGUGAGGCAGCGCCCACUGGAGUGGGUUCACGAGCCCUCUGUAUUGACAUUCCACGUGUGUUUACUGGGACUCAUCAUUCUUCCAGAAGAUGACCUUGCAGUUCAGACAGUGAAGCACAAUUGCAUUGCCACUUGAGUUUCCUGGUUUCCCGAUUUCUUCUGCAUUCCCUCCUUGGGGGAGGUCCCAAUAUGACUAGCCUGGGCCUAUUUGGUCCUUACCAGGAAUGUCUGAUACCAUCACACUGACCAAGAAGAUGUCCUGCUUCUUGCUGACAGAUCAUGGAUGGAGGAGGCAGAAGAGAUGCUACCCCUGACAACACAAGAUCUCCUGGAAGGACAUCCAUGUCCUGGUGGCUGCUGCACAGGUCACCUGACCUCCACAAGCUUUCCUCUCUCUUAUUCUUAUGGCGGUUUUUGUUGUUCUUCAUUCCAACUUUGCUACUGCCCAGCCUUUUUCUAACACUCCCAAUACCCACUACUGGAGAUUUCUUGCUAGGGAGACAUACUACAGACACAACAGAAUUAUAGGACAGCCCUUGUGAAGGAUGAUGGACUAGGAUUGAGAGUCCUCUAACUUGAUGAUUUUAUCUCCACUACCUCCAAUUCCUUCUUCUGUGUUCCUCAUGGCCUCUGACCAUGAGGCCUCCAUGUAUGGAGAUUUCAGUCAUUGUGGAUGCCAAAUUGAAUCCACUAGCCAUGGCAGCAUCACACUCACCAACCUUAAAACUCAUUUUCAGCUUUCCAUCAGCAAUCCCUGGGACAAAUGGGAGUCCUGCAUAUGCUCUACCUUCAUGAAUUGGCUAAAUACCCUGAAGUUGACUUUUUAUGUCUCUUGCCAGCUUGUUCCUGUCUCCACAUUGGUUCUUACCCAUGUAAACAUUCUUUGAUAGGAAAAUCAAAUUCAGAAGGAGGUCUAAGCCACUCUCCCCUGGCUGCAAUACAUCCAAUAUACAGCUGGCAUUCUUCCCCUAGCUACCCACUCCAACUCCUCUCAAUGCUUCUCCUACACUUUCUUCCCCCAGCGCUAUUGGCGGCUGUUCCCAUUAGCAUCUCACUUCAUGAACCUCAUGGAGCCUGAUCCACACAAGAGUUAUGAAACAUCCCUCUCCUCAAUCUACCUCUCCCCUUUGCCUUAUUGGACCCUCUUCAAAAACUCAUCCUACAUUUUCCGGUAAUAUCAUUGUCACUAAGCCAAUAUGUGUUAGUACCCUCUCCCUUCUCUGGUGCAAUAGCCCUAACAAUUCCUGCAUUAAACUCCCUUUUCCAGAUUCCCCUGGUUUUAGGCUGAAGAAACUACCUCGAUUCACAGCUGGUAGGAGACAGAAAAAAGAGGUGAGAUCUUCAUCUCUUUACUGUAGACUAGCCAACAGCAUCCAGAACAAGUUUGAGCAAGCAAUGGCUUCUACUAUGGACAAUCCUGAGAUUCUCCAAUGACAGAUCACAUCCCUAGUGGGGUUGUCCUUCAAAGUUGGAGAGCUCUGGGCUUAAUGACUGUGAAAUGGAGGGAUUUUCAUUUUGUUAAGGGAGGAAUGUUGUUUUUAUGUCUGUGAAUCUGGGCUGUCAAAACAGGACAUAGAAAUGCUCAAAGAUCUAAAGCGAGAUCUCUGAGCAUGCUAAAUGCCCAGCCUCCUACCCUGUGGUACUCAAACCCUCCCAUGCUUGGCUUCACCCCUUCUUGGCUCUGUACUGGCCAUUGGAGCCAUACUCCUCCUGACAUCCUGCCUCAUCCAGUUUCUAAAACGGCAGAUGAGGCAGAUGAAUAGCAUUGCAAAUCUCACUGCCAAUUGUGUUCUGGUUCAAUACCAGUCCAUUCCCAAUAUAGAGGCUAUGGACUAUGAUUACAUCUCCCAUUUAUAGAACAAAAACGGAAUGACGUAGGGCAAGUGCAACUGGGGAAUGGUCCAGGAACAACAGUGAUAUCGAGAAGCAUCCAAACCCUGAAAAUCUUGUCUUCAGUAGAGACUGUUCCCUCUCUAGGCUCAGACUGCAUGUCCUGGUAUUGUUGGCCAAAUUAUAAAUUUAAGCACUGCUAUCCCUUUUUAUGCAAAUAAAACAUUCUCAGCCUCUUGGCCCAGGCCAAUAAUGUACACUCACCUCAAAAAACCACUCCCCAAUAAAGAAAGACACUGUUUUAUGGAAAGCCAAGAGAGCUGUUUCAUUGACUAUCAUCUAGAAGAGCUAUUUUGCUUUCCCACAUAAAGAAAAGCUGUACCACUAAAACCACCUUGAAGAAGUGCUCCUCACCCCCACUCUGCCUUUGCUGAACAUCUGGUGAACUUAUCCACCCAGGCAAACUUUGUUCCCUUCAUUCUGUCCCUGACCAGUGCCCGACUCCUAAAAGGCAGAAGCAGAGCCGGAUUCUAAUAGGCAGAGAGCAAAAGCAUUCUUCUUCCAUGUUCUUCAUAUAGACAGCUGUCAGGAGGUGUGGCCCAGACUGAGGUGGAUCAUUCUACCGCAAAAGGUCUUGAUUAAAUGUGGGUUUUCCAACUUCAGA